rnacentral:RNase_P_RNA from 1 species
AGGGCACGCCGGACGGCUGCGGCGGGGGAGACAACCCGUCGAGGAAAGUCCGGACACCACAGGGCAUGGUGGUCGGCGCAAGCCGACCCGGGGAAACCCGCGGGAAAGUGCCACAGAGACAUACCGCCGAUGGCGGGGGCGCACGUGCACCCCGCACAGGCAAGGGUGAAAAGGUGCGGUAAGAGCGCACCGGCGUCACGGCGACGUGGCGGCCAGGCAAACCCCACCAGGUGCAAGGCCAAGCAGGACCGCUCGCAGGCUGCCCGCCGAGGUCCAGGUCGGCCGCUCAGAUGGAUGGUCGUCCACGACAAGAUCCGGCUUACAGGCGUGCUACGGCG